AGAGGAGAGGCAACUGGGCAGAAUAACAGCUGGAGGAAGGUUGUUGCCUAUCGCUGUUAAGGGGAAACAAGGGACAUCUGCUACUGCCUCUGCCUUGGGAGGCUUCAACAAGAUGCAGAGGUAGGUGCAGAUAAACAGCUAUCCUGUAACUGUGGGCAAAAGUCCGGGGGAGAAUGAGAAGCUUUCCACUACACUUAGGGUCCUAGCUUUGUCCUGUCAUUGGGAGAGUGCAAGAAGGAUAGCUGGGGAGGAGGCUGAUCACUGCAUGCCCUCGUCUACCCUCCAUGGCAACCAGCAGAAGUAACUGACUACAGAGAGAAGCAUAUGUUCUGUUCAGCUAAAGGAUUAUACAGUGGCCACACAACCUGGCUUCAUGCUGGGAGUUUGGAGAUGCUCUAUGAAAUCUGAUGAUCUCUGAAUAAAUUAAGUCUUCCAGAUAGCACAAUCUGCUGAUGGAAAGCAGUGCAUAAUUUUAGCAUACCUGAGCUAAGCAAAAACUCAGGUGCUCGAAAGCAAGCAGCAUGUGUGGUUUCCUUGGAUGACAGUUCAAAACUCUCUCAGAAUCCUUGUACUGAAUCAGAGAUGAGAAAACUGAAGUGAUCUGCUUCCUGCCACAAUAUUGGCCCUAAACCUAUUCUGCAUUAGUAUGAAAUGAAGCUCUGCCUACAUGUGCGGCUAUAGACAAUUGAAACACUACCCACGAAUGAGGAACUGACUGACGUUCCAGUCCAGUGAGUUGCUGAGCUUCACUUGUUGGUGUUCAGCCCCUUGCAGGAAAGGGCCAUAAAGGCUGGGUCUUUUUCUCCUUAACUCCUAACAUUUCCACUGAGUCUUGAUGGAAAAAGAAGGGCAAGACCUGCACCCCAAAUAUGUCUGAUGUGCUUGUCUGACUUUAAAAGAUUCAAAUUUCUGUUACAAUUCAAUUCCAGCAAUGCCCCUCUGCCAUGUACAUUGGCCAAACCGGACAGUCUCUAUGCAAAAGAAUUAAUGGACACAAAUCUGACAUCAGGAAUCAGAACACUCAAAAACCAGUAGUAGAACACUUCAGCCUGUCUGGUCAUUCAAUGACAGACCUGUGGGUGGCAAUUUUGCAACAGAAAAGCUUCAAAAACAGACUCCAAUGAGAAACUACUGAUCUGGAAUUGAUAUACAAACUAGAUACAAUCAUCCUAGGCUUGAAUAGGGGCUGGGCAUGGCUGAGCCAUUACAAAAAUUGACUCUAUCUCCCCUUAAAAGCAGUUAUAGGUCACUUAGCCCAGAAUCCUAGGGGAAGAGCUUGUUGUCAGUCUGUGUGUCCGAGGUGUUUACUAGAGAUUCAUUAGUGGUCCUGGGGGAGACAGAGGAUAGAGAAGUGAACGUGAGGGGGGGAGCCUAGAAGAAAGACUGGAAUUUUCUGCUCAACAGUGAGAGUGCUGACUGCAUCUAAAUCUUGCAUCUUCCACGCAGAAGCAAUGCAACCUAGAAGCAGGAAGAGAGCAUGCUUCCCAUCCACCCAGAUCAGCAACACCCUCUCCUCCUAUUUCCAUCACAGCAACAGUCCCAGAUCUAGCCCUUAAAAGCCCUAGCUCCACCGGGAGGAUUCAGAUGACCACCAGCAGCAGGUGGAGGAGCUGCAAGCAGGACAGAAAGGUCUCAUACACCCUUGAAGUCAUCUGAGCAACCUGAUGUUGAAUUGUUUCUGGCCUAGGUUGUUGCAGAUGGACCACACCAGACUGAGGCUCUGUUGGACCUGCUCCGGAGACUUGCCCUUGAUGAGCCAGUCAUUGAGAUACAGGAAGAUUUGGAUGCCUCAACUUCUCAGGUCCCUGACGAGGCUUCGAGAGUGUUGGCCAGAAGAGCUUCCUGGCUGAUUGUGGCCUAUGCAUGCCCAACAAGUGAAGGGUAGCCCUAGUGUCCUUCAACCCGUGCAGCUUGGCAUCCAUUUGAUCCGAGAACAGACCAACUCUAUCAAAGGGGAGGUCCUGGAUCAAGGCCUGCAUCUCCUGGGAGAGGCCUGCUAUCUGGAGACAGGAACUACGUUGCAUGACCACCACCGAUGUGACCACCUUUGCUGCUGAGUCCACCAUGUCCCAUGCAGUGUGCAGGGAGCAUCCGGCCACCAUCAUACUCUUCUUCACCAGAGUUGCAAACUCUUGGGUCAAACCCUGAGGGAGGUAUUCCUGGAACUUUUUGAGACCAUCCCAGAGAUUAAAAUUGUACUGGCCCUGCAGGGGCUGAUGGUUUGCUACCCAAAAUUGCAGGCUGGAGCGUGGAAUAAAUUUUUCUCCCAAAUAAAUCAAGUUUCUUAGCCUUGUUGUUUGGGAGUCAAGGAGGCGGGGACCUGCUUGUCUGUUUCAUUGGCUGCAAAUGCAAACAGCAAGCCCGGGGGCAGGCGGGUAUAGAGGUACUCGAAAUCUCUGGUCAGCACAAAGUACUUUUCUCAGCCCAUUUUGAGGUGGACGGAAUGAAGGAGGGGGUCUUCAACAAGGCCUUGGCUAUCUUGAGGACUCCCUGGGAACACGUGGAGGCAGAGAGAAAGCUGAAGAAGGUGUCCUCCUGCUCUGCCAUCUCCUGUACCUCAAGCCGAAAGUCCUCGGCCAUGCACCAUAGAAGGUCUUGAUGUUCUCUAAGUCAUCCAGCAGGAUAGCUCUGGAAGGUCCCAUAACCACCUCAUCUGGGGAUGACGAGGAAGACGGGACCUCCAGUGGAGGUGCUCGGGUCUUGACCACCAUUGGAGAAAGAGGCUUUGGGGUGGGAAGAGGUUCCUCCACCCUGACCUCAGAACGGGCUUUCGGUACCAGGUCCAGUGCUGGUGGAGCCACAGCCCAAGCUUCCAUCGCAGGCACUGAGGAGUGCUAUGAAGGAGGCAUCAUCACAACCAGUAUGUCCCACGUGCUCCAAUAAGGCCACUGCGCUGGCUACUGACAAAGGUGCAGACAGGAGUUUGGGUCCCAUACCACUCCCAGGAGUCAGUGGCAGACCCUUAACAGGGCUGGGUGCCCCAGCUGGGGAGGAACGAUUGCGUAGCUCUGGAAUAGUCUGGUGGGCAGGUCUGAGUCCCUUGGUAGAUGACACCUGGGCCUUCUUGCUCAGU